rfam:Larimichthys crocea isolate SSNF unplaced genomic scaffold scaffold192, whole genome shotgun sequence.
GCUCCAGUGGCGCAAUCGGUAAGCGCGCGGUACUUAUAAGACAGUACGCUGUAGAGCGAUGCCGAGGUUGUGAGUUCGAGCCUCACCUGGAGCA